CUAUGAACUACGUUUCUUUAAAAUUUAGUUAAUUGUCUCCAAAUCGCGCCAUGCGAAGCUAGUGCUACCCCUCUAUCAUUGAGCUCAGUGAGCACUCUCACGGUUCAAAUACCGUUAAAGAAUCCAGUUCUUACUGUGACUAAAGACACGCAUCACUGCAAACAAUGCAGAAUGACAAACAAAGCUACGAAAGCAAACAGAUGUGAAACCAUUGUUUACCUCUACCGUUCCCAAACAUUUGAGCAGAAGGGUUUGAGUUGUACAAAGGUCAACCACUUGGGUUAAGGGUUGAGUUAGGUUUGUAAAUAGAAAUACAUAUUUUCUGUAUAUUCUUUGUUAAGUCAGGGAUGUCCAGUCACUUUAAUCAGCACCAA